AGGGCCGCGGCGCGCCUAUUCGCCCGCGGGCUUCAAGGCCCGGUUGGCUGGGCGGGCGGCGGAAUGGGGAGCGCUCAUUGGCCGAGGGGAGGGACAUUGGGGUGGGGCAGGAAAGAGCCGGCUGCUGAUUGGGCUGGCCUGGUAAAGGCCUUCGGGCUCGCACCGGCUGUGCGCGGGCCGGAGGGCGGGCGGAAGGAAGCUGCUGUUAUAGCGAGGUCUGCCGUCUGCCAGGCUCUCGGCUGAGCAGGACCGUGAGGACCACGUGGUUCACCUUCCAACGUGCGGAUUUGGAAACUGGAGCCCAGAGAGCGCGCGGAGCGUGUCCAAGGUCACACAGCCGAUUAAAGACUCGAUCAGAGCUGGGUUUGGACGUGCUUAAUUGCCCUUGGAGUCCCUGUCCGGACCUCUGCGCUUACAAAAGUUUCGCGGAGGCGCGUCCUUAGACCAGUCAAUUUUAACAGCUACCUUAAACCAUUGGUGCUCCAACUUAGACCUAAAACAUGUGUAUAGAAGGAUAUAAAGAUCAUGUGUACUGACUAGGCGUGGCGACACACCUACAAUCUCAGUAUCUCCAAGGCCGAGGCAGCCUGAGCUACAGUCUGAGAUUUAAAAAAAAAAAAAAAAAAAAAAAAAAAACAACUGAUGUAUAACUAUAUAUGCUCGAUACUCCCUUAUCCUCCCCACCUGGGUACCCGGUCUGCAAGUCGGGUUCAGGAGCAGAUGGGUCCAGGAUUAAUGAAUGGCAUGUAGAUUUUACUACCUAGUUUUAACAUGUGAAGAAAUUGCGUACACUAGCCACAUUUGGGAAACCCCGAAGGUUUUAGUGUUUUCUGGAAGGACAGACCGGCUUGGCCAGCUAGCCUGUAAUUUCUUUGUUGUAUUCUUCAAUUUGUUUUUUUUUGACUGCUUCAUAUAUGUAUAUGAUAUGUUCUGAUUACAUUCACCCUAACCUUGAUUUUAAGUAAUUUUUUGGGGUAGCAUUCAAGUAUGGUUUUGGUGUGGGUUUCUAUUUUUGUUUUCUAAAGACAGCCUCAUGCAGCUCUGUCCGGCCUGGAACUCACUAGGUUGGACCAGGCUGUUCUUGAAUCAGAGCCACCUGCUUUUGCCCUCUAAAUGCAAGGAUUAAAGGCAUACAUCACCACA